rnacentral:snRNA from 1 species
GUGCUCGAUUCGGCAGCACAUAUACUAAAAUUGGAACAAUACAGAGAAGACUAGCAUGGCCCCUGCGCAAGGAUGACACACAAAUUCGUGAAACGUUCCAUAUUUUU